rnacentral:rRNA from 1 species
GACGAACGCUGGCGGCGUGCUUAACACAUGCAAGUCGAACGGAAAGGCCCUGCUUGCAGGGUACUCGAGUGGCGAACGGGUGAGUAACACGUGGGUGAUCUGCCCUGCACUUCGGGAUAAGCCUGGGAAACUGGGUCUAAUACCGGAUAGGAGCCAUUUUUAGUGUGAUGGUUGGAAAGUUUUUUCGGUGUAGGAUGAGCGCGCGGCCUAUCAGCUUGUUGGUGGGGUAAUGGCCUACCAAGGCGGCGACGGGUAGCCGGCCUGAGAGGGUGGACGGCCACAUUGGGACUGAGAUACGGCCCAGACUCCUACGGGAGGCAGCAGUGGGGAAUAUUGCACAAUGGGCGCAAGCCUGAUGCAGCGACGCCGCGUGGGGGAUGACGGCCUUCGGGUUGUAAACUCCUUUCGCUAGGGACGAAGCUUUUUGUGACGGUACCUAGAUAAGAAGCACCGGCUAACUACGU